GACGAUCUCUUGCGGCGUGCUUAACACAUUCAGGUCGAACGUAAAUGCCCUGCUUUUGUGGGUUACUCGAAUUUCGAACGGGUUGUUAACACGUAAGUAGCCUGCGCUUUACUUUAGGGUAACUGCAGGAAGCUGUGGCUAAUAACGGAUAGGAGCGCCUGCUACAUGGUGUGGGUUGGAAAGUUUCGGCGGUUGGGGAUGGACUCGCGGUUUAUCAGCUUGUUGGUGGGGUAGUGGCUUACCAAGGCUUUGACGGGUAGCCGGCCUGAGAGGGUUACCGGCAAUAUUGGUACUGAGAUAGGGACCAGACUCCUACGGGAGGCAGAAGUGGGGAAUAUUGCCACAUGGGCGGAAGCCUGAUGAAGCAACGCCGCGUGCGGGAUGACGGCCUUCGGGUUGUACACUGCUUUCGCAUGUGACGAAGCGUGAGUGACGGUAAUGGGUAAAGAAGCAACGGCUAACUACGUG
rnacentral:rRNA from 1 species